UACAUGGGGUGCAAACGUUGCUCGGAAUCAUUGGGCGUAAAGCGCGCGUAGGCGGUUACUUAAGUUGGAUGUGAAAGCCCUCGGCUUAACUGAGGAAGUGCUAUCCAAAACUGAGUAGCUAGAGUACGAAAGAGGGUCGCGGAAUUCCCGGUGUAGAGGUGAAAUGCGUAGAUAUCGAGAGGAACACCUGCGGCGAAGGCGGCCACCUGGACGGUAACUGACGCUGAGACGCGAAAGCGUGGGGAGCAAACAGG
rnacentral:rRNA from 1 species